GACGAACGCUGGCGGCGUGCCUAAUACAUGCAAGUCAACCUUAGUGGCGGACGGGUGAGUAAUGCCUAGGCAUCUGCCUGGUAGAGGGGGAUAACGCCCGGAAACGGGCCCUAAUACCGCAUACUAUCACAUGAGCCAAGGUCGGAUUAGCUAGUUGGUGGGGUAAAGGCCUACCAAGGCGACGCUCCGUAACUGGUCUGAGAGGAGGAGCAGUCACACUGGAACUGAGACACGGUCCAGACUCCUACGCGAGGCAGCAGUGGGGAAUAUUGGACAAUGGGCGAAAGCCUGAUGCAGCCAUGCCGCGUGUGUGAAGAAGGUCUUCGGAUUGUAAAGCACUUUAAGUUGGGAGGCGUUACCAGCAGAAUAAGCACCGGCUAACUUCGUGCCAGCAGCCGCGGUAAUAC
rnacentral:rRNA from 1 species